rnacentral:rRNA from 1 species
GGGCCCGCACAAGCGGUGGAGUAUGUGGUUUAAUUCGAUGCAACGCGAAGAACCUUACCAGGGCUUGACAUCCUGCGAACCUCUGGGAAACCGGAGGGUGCCUUCGGGAACGCAGUGACAGGUGGUGCAUGGCUGUCGUCAGCUCGUGUCGUGAGAUGUUGGGUUAAGUCCCGCAACAAGCGCAACCCUUAUCCUUGUUUGCCAGCGAGUAAUGUCGGGAACUCCAGGGAGACUGCCGGUGAUAAACCGGAGGAAGGUGUGGAUGACGUCAAGUCAUCAUGCCCCUUACAUCCUGGGCUACACACGUACUACAAUGCUACGGACAAAGGGCAGCAAGUUCGCGAGGACAAGCAAAUCCCAUAAACCGUGGCUCAGUUCAGAUCGUAGGCUGCAACUCGCCUACGUGAAGGCGGAAUCGCUAGUAAUCGCAGGU